UACGUAGGUGGCAAGCGUUGUUCGGAAUUACUGGGCGUAAAGGGCGCGUAGGCGGCCGAUCAAGUUAGAUGUGAAAGUCCUGGGCUUAACCUGGGGACUGCAUUUGAUACUGAUUGGCUUGAAUUCGGGAGAGGAUAGCGGAAUUCCCAGUGUAGAGGUGAAAUUCGUAGAUAUUGGGAAGAACACCGGUGGCGAAGGCGGCGACCUGGGUGGAAACUGACGCUGAGGCGCGAAAGCGUGGGGAGCAAACAGG
rnacentral:rRNA from 1 species